rnacentral:rRNA from 1 species
AACGUAGGAGACAAACGUUAUCCGGAGUUACUGGGCGUAAAGGGCGUGUAGGCGGUUAGUUAAGUCUGGCGUGAAAGCUCUCGGCUAAACCGGGAGAGGUCGUUGGAUGCUGGCUGACUAGAGGACGGUAGAGGCGUGUGGAAUUCCGGGUGUAGUGGUGAAAUGCGUAGAGAUCCGGAGGAACACCAGUGGCGAAGGCGACACGCUGGGCCGUACCUGACGCUAAAGCGCGACAGCAUGGGGAGCAAACGGG